rnacentral:ncRNA from 1 species
ACUAGGAAGUUUUUCUCAUUCUCAUGGAGAAAUGGCAGCUUGUCGUCCUUUGCGUCGACCAAGGGAGGAUGGGUCGAUGAUAUGAGACCUCGCACUCCCGGGGCGUCUCGUUCUCUCUCUCAUUGAGAGAGAAGAGGCGCACCAAGAGCGUACACGUUGGGACCCGAAAGAUGGUGAACUAUGCCUGGUCAGGACGAAGUCAGGGGAAACCCUGAUGGAGGUCCGUAGCGAUUCUGACGUGCAAAUCGAUCGUCGGAACUGGGUAUAGGGGCGAAAGACUAAUCGAACCAUCUAGUAGCUGGUUCCCUCCGAAGUUUCCCUCAGGAUAGCUGGCACUCGCACGUCCAUAUCGAACGCAGAACGAGUCUCAUCUGGUAAAGCGAAUGAUUAGAGGCCUUGGGGCCGAAACGACCUCAACCUAUUCUCAAACUUUAAAUGGGUGAGAACUCUGGCUUGCUUGAAGCAUGAAGCCAAAGACAAUUUAAAUUGGAUCUUGAGUGCCAAGUGGGCCAAUUUUGGUAAGCAGAACUGGCGCUGUGGGAUGAACCAAACGCAGAGUUAAGGCGCUUAAGACGACGCUUAUUGGAUACCAUGAAAGGCGUUGGUUGCUUAUGACAGCAGGACGGUGGCCAUGGAAGUCGGAAUCCGCUAAGGAGUGUGUAACAACUCACCUGCCGAAGCAACUAGCCCUGAAAAUGGAUAGCGCUGAAGCGUCGCGCCUAUACUCCGCCGUCAGCGGCAAGAGAGGAGGCACGUGCGUCACUUCGGUGACCGUCCUUCAUGAAGCCCUGACGAGUAGGAGGGUCGCGGCGGUGUGCGCAGAAGGGUAUGGGCGUGAGCCUGCCUGGAGCCGCCGUCGGUGCAGAUCUUGGUGGUAGUAGCAAAUACUUCAGCGAGGACCUGGAGGACUGACGUGGAGAAGGGUUUCGUGUGAACAGCCGUUGCACACGAGUCAGUCGAUCCUAAGCCCUAUGAGAAAUCAUAUGCCGAUGAGGUGUCCUUAAACACAUGUGCAAACGCAACAAUUCGAACGCUAGGUACACACCCAUCGGGCGAAAGGGAAUCCGGUUCCUAUUCCGGAACCCGGUAGCGGAACCGAAAUCCAUUCGGGCCCUCAUUGAGUGUUCGUCGGGGUAACCCAAAAUGACCUGGAGACGCCGUCGGGAGAUCCGGGGAGAGUUUUCUUUUCUGUAUAAGCGUUCGAGUUCCCUGGAAACUUCUAGCAAGGAGAUAGGGUUUGGAACGCGAAGAGCACCGCAGUUGCGGCGGUGUCCGGAUAUUCCCCUCGGACCUUGAAAAUCCAGGAGAGGGCCACGUGGAGGUGUCGCACCGGUUCGUACCCAUAUCCGCAGCAGGUCUCCAAGGUUAAGAGCCUCUAGUC